rnacentral:rRNA from 1 species
GUAAGUAUACCCCNAAAGGUAAGUAUGCAAAUAUGAUAACAUCACUAACGUCAGGUCAAAGUGCAGCUAAUAGUAAGGAGAUGAUGGGUUACACUCUUAAUAUAGAUACAGAUUAAAGUACUAAGAACUUUAUAAAGGUGGACUUGGAUGUAAUUGUAAAUUCAAUAUUUAUAUGAAUAUGAAUCUAAGACAUGCACACAUCGCCCGUCACUCUCGCCUAAAGGCG